rnacentral:lncRNA from 1 species
CAUGGGUAUAUAGCGCGAGGAGCGGCGCCGAUUGCAUUUACGGGCGCUCGCCUCGCGCACACACAUGUGUAUGCACACAUCUCUCCGCUGCUGCUGGCUGCCGGGGGCUGCGUUUUCUCUCUGUUGCUGCAGCGCCGAAAGAGAGAGAGAGAGAGAGAGAGAGAGAAAGGUGCACCGCAUAUAGUCAGUUUUUCCUUCUCUCGCAGUCGCUCCGCUCUGCUUGAUAUGUUAACCCAGUGUGCGAUGCAUGUAUAUGUAUUGUACGCAUGUAUAUGAGCGAGAGAAAGAAAAACUUAAACAGCUAACAAGUGGCAGCCAUCUUUGUGUGUAAGAUGGCGCCACCACAGCCGUUUCGCGGAAGAAACGACGACUCGGGGAUUUUCGCACACACAUAUCUUACUAUCCUUUUUCGCGUCUCUACAGCUCUGCAACUGACCCUUCUGCUAAUAUUCCUACAAUAUGUGCCACUGUUUGUAUAGUUGCGGGCACAAAGGAGAUAAGUUUUAUUUCAUAUUACAAAUAUUCUUCUAUGGCCUAUCUCGUCGUUUUCCUCCGCGAUUUCGGCGAUUUUUUUUUAGCCUAUACGAGAGAGAAUCAGGUGCAACGACCUGAUGAUGAUGCCGCAAUUAUAUUUGCAUGAUUGUCGUCGCCGUUGCGGAAUGUGGCGCGCGGAAUUUCGAUGAUUUUCGAAAGUGACAUUGCUAUAAAUUAUGGGCUGCGCUAUAUUUGGAUUUUUAUCCUCGUUCUAAAAAAGCGUGUACAGCUGCGAUUUUAGGAAGAAAGUGCUAAUAUGCUCGUAUUAAUUUAUGGCUAGCGCAUAUGUCGAUAUAGCACAUAUGCGCUGCGCAGUGCAAAAUGGUAUAAGAAUUUUUUCAUAUAACGCAAAAAUUCAGCGGUAAAUGCUAGCUUAUCAAUAAUUGGUCAGCUUCUAUUGAUGAUAAGGUAGACAUUUCGUUUCUCGACAGCUAUAGGUAUAUACGCUGUAUGUUCGCGCGCGGGAUGGAAAUUUCAAAUUUGUAAGAUAGCUGGAGACCAUUAUGAACAAUAAAAUGCCAUUACAAUGAAUCCAAUCAAUCUUAAAAAUCUAUAAUAUUUGUUUUUAAUUAUGCAAGUAUAGAUAUUAAAGGCAACAUAAAUCAUAUUGGUUUGGAGUCAGUAAUAAUGCAAAUCUAGAAUUAUAGCGAUAUUAGAAAAUUAAAUUUACAACCAUUAAAUCUGAAGAUUCUUAUACACGUAAGUUAACUCAUGAUUGUCUUAUUUUCAAAUAGUUACAAAAAUAUUGUACAUGCAGGCUAGCAUUAUAAAUAAAUAGAAAAUCAAUCAAAUCGAUCUCUGUGAUAAGACGCAUGCCAUGGUGACUGGUGGUCCUCUUGUUGCCGAUGGCGUUCAAGUUGGUAUCGUAUCGUUUGGUAGUCCUUGUGCUCGCGGAAAGCCCGAUAUCUUUACAAGAAUUUACACUUUCAUUGGCUGGAUGAAGGAAAAAAUGUCUCAAUUUUAAAAUGUUCGACCCUUUACAAGUAAAUCAAAAAUUGAAUAAAAAGUAUUUUUUAUUUUAA